UUUUAGUGAUAGGUUAUUUACGGUAAUUCAGUAUUGAGCCUAGACUGAGUGUGGAAUAGAUGUAUUACAAGAGAUAUUACGGUAUUUUAUGGGGUUUAACUAUAAUACAGCAUGGCCUGUUUACUCAGUUCUGAUUGGCCUAUGCUCAGAGUGUCAACCAAUCGGAGCACGCCUUGCUCUGGGUUGGGUGAAGCACAUGGAGAAAAUGGCGAGGGACGGACGGCCACAUUUUGGGCCAUAGAAAAUACGCAUUAGGAUGAGAUAAAAGGGAGUUCAGGACGUUCCCAGGGUUCAAUUGAUAUGACCAGACUACAGUAUGGGCUCGGGCUGAGUGAGUAGCCCGGACGCCUGGAUAUGGGUGCCAUGUUUCCGUCCGGCGACAGGUAGUGUUCCGGAGGAGUGCCCACAUGUGAUGUCCUCGUCGCCCGUUUGUAUGACCCACGGCUUUUCCUAGGACAGCUAAUUCCAGCUUCGGGAUGAUCGUCGUUGCAUACCAAACACGAUACGGCCCAAGACAGGUGUUGUGGAGAGCACAGGAUCGUGACAACCCAGGAGAACUAGGUUACAUGUACAGUAAUGUUAGUGCCGAACUGUGAACAGUAUGUGUGUACAAGUGUACCGGAAGUGGCGGUGUUGCCGAACUGUUUCUAUGUUUACAUUAUCAGCUGAUUAUUGUCUUUGUAGUGUUUGUACUGGUUAAAGUACUUGGAUCAUCUAGGAUGAACUGUAUUAUCAAUUAACAUUCACAGUAGUAACUAAGUGAUUAAUUUGGAGAGAAACAUCCAGUGGUAUAGGAUAUUUCGGUGAUGUUUGGUAUUUGAAUAUACUCUGGAUAGAUUUUUGAGUAUGAGAAAAUUAUCCUAGUCCUAUAUGUAUUAUGAAGUGUCGAGUGUGUGAGGGAUCCCGUAGUAUGAUGAGAAUUAGGGUUAUUUGUUGUGAUAGGUAGUACUUAUAUUGUAUGUUAUGUCAUUAUUUGUUCUUGUGUAAAUAAAUUGUUAAGUUUA